UACGGGGGGGGCAAGCGUUGUUCGGAAUUACUGGGCGUAAAGGGCUCGUAGGUGGCCAACUAAGUCAGACGUGAAAUCCCUCAGCUUAACUGGGGAACUGCGUCUGAUACUGGAUGGCUUGAGUUUGGGAGAGGGAUGCGGAAUUCCAGGUGUAGCGGUGAAAUGCGUAGAUAUCGGGAGGAACACCAGUGGCGAAGGCGACUACCUGGCCUGUUCUUGACGCUGAGGCGCGAAAGCUAGGGGAGCAAACGGG
rnacentral:rRNA from 1 species